rnacentral:tRNA from 1 species
GUGGCUGGUGGCUGAGGUGGGGCGGUGAACUGACGGUUCGUCCGCUCCUGUUCGAUUCGGUGGGGCCGUUC